CCAAUAGUGCUAGGCACCUCGUGGCUUUCUACGCGCUUUAUCCGGCGGCGCAUCCUACAGGUGCCCAAAGGUAUUUCGUCCGCCCACUAGCGCGAAUCGCGUAUUUUCGGCGCUCUUGGAGCGCUCCCAGAUGCGGAGGAGGAGGAAAUACGCGACGUCGACGAAAACGAUAUGCGAGGAAGGAGAUCUUGACGGAUAAAUCGCGACCGCGGUCACGUGCGGUUCUACUGAAAGAAUACUCGGUGAUGCGAAGAAACGAAAUUUAUUGGAAAGGCUCGAUUGUACCAAGGAAUGUCGACGAGUUUCGCUGACGGUCUUCGGAAUAACUGCAUGGUAAUUUCUCGCCUGAGAAAGAUGGAUAAGUACGGGGGCGGAUAUAGUUUUUGCGUCGAGGAUACCGAGUCAUUAGGAGUGAUCCACGGGGGCGGCGAGAUCAUUUAGGACGAGAAAGCGUGACUGUAUCGCGUGUCGUCCCGUAAAGUAUCCGGAUACGCACGGUUCCUCCUAUAAAUCAGCGACCUUCUGCACGCCACCCUCUUUUCCUCGUACCGGCGGGCAGCAAGUACUUUCCGCGUGCCGGAAAAAAGGGAAAAGCACGCGAACGCUAUUUAAAAGGCUCGUAGACCGGCGGCUUUCCUAGCGGCCGCCGGAGUAUGGCACGAAGGCGAGCGCGAGAAGAGAGAAGGAGAGAGGACUUCGACUUCGCCGCUCCUCUCUGGCGGCCUCGGCAUGGGGUUGUCGUGCUAUUUUCAGGCCCCGCUGGCUCGAUGCAGCUGUCGUGGUCUUCGGGUAAACCACCUCUCUUCUAUUCCACGGCCAUCCUCGAGGCGCGACAAGAGCUAAACACACUCGUGCGCCUAGAAAUUCGCCAAUCGGAUGAACCUAUUAAACUGUCCGGAUUCCGAGAAUAGCAAUACGAUGA